ensembl:snoRNA
AUUCUUCUGUGGUACGGAAGCAGGCACGGUGACUGGGUUUCCACACUUUUGUAUGUGGUGACUCUCCCUCAGAUCUUGUUAUGACACUGACACCCUUCUGAUG